rnacentral:rRNA from 2 species
GUUUUGGGCUUAGUUAGUUGUGGAGCACAUGAAAACUCCACAGUUAAGCGUGCUCAGGUGGGAGUAGUACUAGGAUGGGUAACCUCUUGGGAAGUCUCCACCAAGGAAACC